UACGCUGACAUUUGACGUAUUCAUUCAACUUUUGUCCAACGGAGCAUUGUUGCGAGUUUUCUGCGACCGUUGGAAGUGUUUGUGGAUUUCGGACAACUUUCGAAUAAUUAUUAGUGUUUAUUGCAAAGAAAACUAUUUAAAGUAGUUUUUUAACUAUCUACAAUGGUUCACCAGUGCAUAGUUUGUUAAAGGUGGACUAUUCUAACUCCUGAUUGAUAUUUGGACGCGUUCCUAUAAUUACUGAGCUUAGACAAUGAUCGAUUUCACUCUUGAAUUUGAAAAAUCAAACUAAUGUGUGUCCAAAUUUGUUCUGAUGAUUUUGAUAAGAGCAAUAUUAUGAUCGCCGAAUUAACUGAUCGAAGGCAAAUAAGACCAAAUUCUGAGCCUCAAAUAGAUAGUACCAUUUUUGCUGGGGCUUUAUCAUACAGGUUUUCUUCUAGUUUGUACCGCCACCCAAAAAAUGUUUUAGGUAAAUGAACCUCCAGACCAGCUGAGGGACUAGAGAAGGUCCCUACCUAGUCCCGCGAUUGGCAGUUUGGCUGGCCCCUCAAAUUUGAUUUUGCCUAAAAUCAUACAAGAUAAACUAGCCCUUCUCAAGAAGCCCUUCCCUCAAAACAACAGAAACGGCAUUGGAAAAAGAAGUUGGAAUUAACCAGUAUGUGCUCUUUCAUAGUAAGACAAUCCUCAUCUUCUGAUCUCUCAAUAGUUGGAUAUUUAUUAUCUCAAGAAAGUCGUCAAAGUAUCAGAAAAAGAAAGAAGUAUGUUAAUGAGGCAUUAUAAUGAUAUUAUGUAGAAAUUUAAGUCUUGUAAAAAUUUGGAAACAAAGAAAAUGAAAAAUACAUACUUUACAAAUAGGUCUUAGAAGAUUGAAAAAUAAAAUAAUAUCAAUGCAUCAGUUAAUUGAUUACUUAAAAGAAAAAUCUUUGAUAAGUGAAUCAACUGAAUUGACGAUUCAGGUUUCCUUAGCUGAACCAGUACAAAGUAUUUUUGAAAGAAUGUUAAAAGGACCUGCCACACAAAAAUCCAAUCUUCUGCUACUAUCCUUUGCUUUAACAUUGUCAUUUUAUUUGCCGAAAACAGAAUUUAUAAGGGAUACAUAAACUGGCCCAGAGUUUUCUUAGGAGGCCUCUAAAUUCCAUUUAGUUUUCAACAAUAUUUUUGAUAUUUUUAACUCUCAGAAUGGAUUUACAAAAUAUUCAUAUAAAAAAAUUAUCAAAAAUAUAAGAACAACAUACUUUUUAAUAAUUUUGAAAUAAUUAAAUUGUAUAUUAUUGGACUUACUUUAAAAGAAAGGUCAACCAUAGUCACAAAGAAAAACGGGAUUUUUGGGCUUUCUAAUUUGUAUGGAAAGCUUACAACGUAUGUAUAAAUACUAUGUAAAAGAAAAUCAAUUAUUAAAAUAUAUUUUGACUAACUGGUGGAGGUCCACGUAUACAAAAAGCAAAAACGGAAGAUAAUAAUAUAUUCAAUUAAUGUAAAAAUGAGAAGAGCAUUGUGGGAUUAAAAAACAUGAUGGUGAUAGAUUGUCUAAAACUAAUAGGAGUACUGGUAUUUCUCAAAACAAAACUGAUGGUUACAAAGAAACAGAAGAAAAGGGAAGAUAUUAAUUUACUAGACAAAAGGCUGUUCUUUUGUAAUAUGGAGAUGGGCAAAAUUCAAAGUAGUAGUAUUCAAAACAGAGAAGAACAUAAGCUAAAGAAAAAAAGGGUUGUUAGACAUUGAAAUAAAAAAAGAACAGUAAAAUUCUCAAAGAGAACUUAUUUAAUAAUUUUAAUUAGUGUUUAUAUUGUAAUGUAAAAAAUGUAAUGUAUGUUAUUUCUGAAUAAAAGACAUUUAAUAAUGA
rnacentral:lncRNA from 1 species